AAAAUAUAUUUGAAUUUGAAUUUGUAUAAAGAAAACUGUCUGCUAAAUUCUGUUCUUCCCCUUGCAGCUUUCUCCUCCUCAUUUUUAUAGAAUUAUCUAAAUGUUACACCUUGUACCUUAAUAAUUGGUAGAAAAUUAUUUUUUAAUCUUCAAUGUGUUAUCUAAUAUGACAGAAUUCAGUGAAAGCUUCAUUAAUAUCUUGCUUAUAGAAUUUGACUUCAUACCUUAAUUUUAACAUGUUAUACAUAAUGCCUUGCUGGGUUGAAGAUAAAUCUUGCAUUUUAUUUAUUUUGAAGGAAUUAUGUCCCUUGUUCAUGUAUUACAAGGUUUGAGAGGUGUCAUGUGCAUUAUGCCGUUACAUCUACUUUUCUUCUUUUUUCAUUUUUAAUAAUAUUUUAUUACAUAAUUAAAUUUACAUCAUUAAAUCAUGUAAGGGUGAUCAUUGUAUCAAUAAGAUAAAAAAAAUCUGCUGGUUUAUCUUAGUUAUAAUCUGGUACCCACCCGUAUUACUUCACCACUUUUAUCAAUAUCAAGACUGUUUUCAACUGUUAUUUCUCAUUAAAUACUAUGAUACUUUGCACCUAUUGAA
rnacentral:lncRNA from 1 species